rnacentral:rRNA from 1 species
AUUGAACGCUGGCGGCAUGCUUUACACAUGCAAGUCGAACGGAUUUUGGAGCUUGCUCCAAAGUCAGUGGCGAACGGGUGAGUAAUAUAUCGGAACGUACCCGGCAAUGGGGGAUAACGUAGCGAAAGUUACGCUAAUACCGCAUAUGCCCUGAGGGGGAAAGCAGGGGACCAGCAAUGGCCUUGCGUUGUCGGAGCGGCCGAUAUCGGAUUAGCUAGUUGGUGAGGUAAAGGCUCACCAAGGCGACGAUCCGUAGCGGGUCUGAGAGGAUGAUCCGCCACACUGGGACUGAGACACGGCCCAGAUUCCUACGGGAGGCAGCAGUGGGGAAUUUUGGACAAUGGGGGAAACCCUGAUCCAGCCAUGCCGCGUGAGUGAAGAAGGCCUUCGGGUUGUAAAGCUCUUUCAGGUGGAAAGAAAAGGUUGCGGAUAAUACCUGCAACUGAUGACGGUACCAUCAGAAGAAGCACCGGCUAACUACGUGCCAGCCGCCGCGGUAA